AUUGGUACCUUGUACGACUUCCCCCAGUCGCUGAAUCCACUGUGGAAGGUAGCUACUUUAGCAUCCCCGCUUCGAAUGAGUUCAACUCCCAUGGUGUGACGGGCGGUGAGUACAAGACCCGGGAACGUAUUCACCGUAGCAUAGCUGAUCUACGAUUACUAGCGAUUCCAACUUCAUGUAGUCGAGUUGCAGACUACAAUCCGAACUGGGAGAUAUUUUUGAGAUUUGCUCCACGUCACCGUAUUGCUGCUCUUUGUAUAUCCCAUUGUAGCACGUGUGUAGCCCUGGACGUAAGGGCCAUGAUGACUUGACGUCGUCCUCACCUUCCUCCUACUUGCGUAGGCAGUCUCAUUAGAGUUCUCAGCCGAACUGUUAGCAACUAAUGACGAGGGUUGCGCUCGUUGCGGGACUUAACCCAACAUCUCACGACACGAGCUGACGACAGCCGUGCAGCACCUGUAUAUAAGGUUUCUGCAGCAGACACCAAUCUAUCUCUAGAAGGUCUUACUAUGUCAAGUCCAGGUA
rnacentral:rRNA from 1 species